UACAGAGGGUGCGAGCGUUAAUCGGAAUUAUUGGGCGUAAAGGGAGCGUAGGCGGAUGUGCAAGUGGUAGGUGAAAUACCCGGACUUAACCUGGGGAGGUCCUAUCAGACUGCACGUCUAGAAUGUGGUAGAGGAAGGUGGAAUUCCUGGUGUAGCGGUGAAAAUGCGUAGAUAUCAGGAAGAACAUCAAUGGCGAAAGGC
rnacentral:rRNA from 1 species